rnacentral:rRNA from 1 species
UACGAAGGGGGCUAGCGUUGCUCGGAAUCACUGGGCGUAAAGCGCGCGUAGGCGGAUCGUUAAGUCAGGGGUGAAAUCCUGGAGCUCAACUCCAGAACUGCCUUUGAUACUGGGGAUCUCGAGUCCGGGAGAGGUGAGUGGAACUGCGAGUGUAGAGGUGAAAUUCGUAGAUAUUCGCAAGAACACCAGUGGCGAAGGCGGCUCACUGGCCCGGUACUGACGCUGAGGUGCGAAAGCGUGGGGAGCAAACAGG